GUUGAAAUGAUGAAUUUUUAUGUCGGAUACCCCUUCACUCGUAAGAAUGAGUGAAAGAAAUUUGCUGACAAC